GUGAAGCUAGAGGUGAAGGAGUGAGAGGAAGAUGAGGACGAGGAAGGACAGUUGUCUCAGAUUAGAUCAGGGCCACGUUGGUUGACCAUGUGCUCCACCAUGGAUUGAGUAUAAGGGAGGCUGGGCAGAGAGCAUCUAUCAUCCAUACAUUCAGAAAUGAGAACCGAACUGAGAGACGGCCAGGCCAUGCUGGAAGACACCGGAACAGGAGACCGCAUGGUGGCAAACAAUACCAAUAGACUACGAGAAAUCCAGAACCACAUAAUUGCAGACAACACAAUAUUCAAUAACAUUCACCAGAGUCUUUGAGCUGGAUGCCGCUGCAAUUCCGCACGUUUAUAUUUACAUUGAGGCUGGCUUCAACCUAGCCAAAAGAAGGGGACAGAACAUUAUUGGCCACCGUGCCAUUGUGAAUGUCCCUGGACAGCGUGGAGGGAAUAUCACCAUGUGCGCAGCCGUUAGUCAGCAUUCUCCAUCACCAUGCCAACCUUGGUCCCUACAACACCGCCCUUCUCAUCACAUUCCUUGACGCACUACAUGGCAUCCUCAUUCCAGCCAAGCAGAGGGGUGGACCAAAGCAGCCCAGGUAUGUUGUCAUCUGGGACACCGUGAGUUUCCACCGGGCUGCUCUGGUCCACAACUGGUUCAUCGACCACCCACAAUUUAUUGUUCUAUAAAUGACUUAAAAGUAAAUGUACCUCCCACCAUAUUCCCCAUUAAACCCAAUUGAAGUUUUUUUCGGCAUGGCGAUGGAAGGUGUAUGACCGCCAUCCCCUCGCACGCAUGCCUCUUCUCCAGGCACCGGAAGAUGCGUGUGGUGAAGUUGAUGUGGUGGCUUUCGGCGGCUGGAUCCGUCACUCUAGAAGAUUCUUAUCCCACUGUUUAGCCAGGGAGAACAGUGCUUGUGAUGUAGAUGAGGUCCUGUGGCCAGACCAAAAUAGAAGGCAGGAUGCAGCCUAAUGUCUUUUUUCUUACAUUUUGUAUGUGUUUUUGUCUUUUAGAGUUUUGAACGAAUGAGCCACUUUAAUUUUUUUUUGAUUUUGUACAGAAAACCCAUUAUCUUACUGAAUGUUUUCUCCUGUUGGGUAUGGAAAGUGUUACAUACAAAACACAAGUGUUAAAAAAUACUGCAUUUUGGAAAUAAAUGACAAUGUCUUUGUUACUGUAUUGAAUCUGUGUAUUUGAGUAGGUAUACAUUACAGUAACAAUUUAACAACCGGCUACAGUGUAACACUGAAAAUGCAAAAGGAAUAAACUUACUGAUGGGAUAUUCAUAGUGUUUUGUGUUGCUGGUUGGUAGACAGAUCCACUCAUAUGACGCAUGUUUUUUGCAUCAAAAUGACAGACAGUUUUGAAUGCAGUGUUUGCUUUCGCUAGAGGUUUUGGGAAAAUGGCCCAAAGAAUCAGCAAACGUAUGUAAACAAUUGUGGAAAACUGUAUUAUACAUUACAUUUGUAAACGGACAGUUUGAGGCAUACA